rnacentral:rRNA from 1 species
UAACCUUUAGCCACAAACAAGUAUUAAAGGCAACGCCUGCCCAGUGAAUAAUUAAACGGCCGCGGUACCCUAACCGUGCAAAGGUAGCAUAAUCAUUUGUCUAUUAAUUGUAGACCUGCAUGAAAGGCAAAAUGAGGGUUUAACUGUCUCUUAUAGUAAAUCAAUUAAACUGAUCUCCUAGUUAAAAAGCUAGAAUAACUACAUAAGACCAGAAGACCCUGUGAAGCUUAAACUAAACUAUUAAACCUCAUAAUAACUACUUUCGGUUGGGGCGACCUUGGAAAAAAAAAGAACUUCCAAACACAGUGACUAUAAAUCACCUCACCAGGCUCACAAGCCUAUUUAAACCUAGACCCAGCAAAGCUGAUUAAUGAACUAAGUUACUCCAGGGAUAACAGCGCCAUCUUCUUCAAGAGUCCAUAUCAAAAAGAAGGCUUACGACCUCGAUGUUGGAUCAGGACAUCCUAAUGGUGCAGCCGCUAUUAAGGGUUCGUUUGUUCAACGAUUAACAGU